CUGUGCAGGGGAGGGGCGGGGCGGCGGCACUGAGGACAGGCUUUUUCCAGGGUCCUAAGGGGCUGGCAUGGGAGGACUGGGUGUGAGCAGAAAGAGCCCCCCCAACCACCACCCAGGAGCCCCAACGGAAAGGCUGCCGCGGGCCUGGAAGAACCCAGCAGGCCCUGCCUGAGGGUUAGGCUUGGGAACACAGAGAGCUUACAGUGGGAGCCACGUGCUGAUGGCUCCAAGUCCCAGACAACUGGUCAGCUUUGCCCAGCACUGGCUUUGCAGCCCGUGGGAAGCACGUGGCCCCAGCAUGCAGCCACCUGGGAGCAGCAAGGCCAAGCCAGAUUGGGGACCCCUGGGAGAGGAGGGGCAUGGGUGCUCGGACAAGGUGACGGGCAGCUUCCAUUGCACAGCUGAGGCAGGGGAGCCUCAGAGACACUGGGGGACACAGCUGGAGGGGGACACAUGUCCUGACCUACUCCCGAGCCCCCCACCCCUGCAACAGACAACCAUGAAAAAAGGAACUCGCCAGGUGACUCUAUCUUCCAGAGAAGGGCCAGCACAGCGGGGACACACGCCUUGACAUGUGGCAGACCGUGCAGUCCAGGAGGACCAGUCCAGGGUGGUCUAACAACUGGGGAGGGCAGUUCAGUUCCUGGGCUCCCACCCCGGGAGCUUGGCCAUGACACCACAGCCCACCCGAUGAGAUCUGAAGCAUGGCCAGGAGUCCAGGGCCCCGGGAGCGGGCCGGCGGCGGGGUCACAUGGCUGCCUGGCUGUCCUGCCCAACGUUUACUGCACGCAGGGGCAGGAGCAGCUGGGCUCUGCGGAUCACCUACUGCGUGCAGCUGUGCCGGCCCAGGAAGCCGCGGACGAAGGAGAAAGGCCGGCCCAGGCCUCGAAACUUCCACUGUCUGGAGCAACCCAUGAAAAGCAAUGGGAAACGCAAACAGAAGGUUUAAGAAUCUAAAAGCUGUCUCAAGAGGACAACCACGGCCACGGCUGCAAGCUGUGGCAUCGAGAUGCAGCUUCUGCGUGAGGCCACCAGGGCACUGUUGCCGACCCAAGACCCAGAGGCCACCCGAACCUCAGCCCGGGACAACCCCUCCCUGCACCAGAGAUGCAGCCCAGACGGGUGGCGACCCGACUUCACUGGGGCUCAACCUUGGCACCUGCCGGGUCUCCACGCCGCUGACCUUGGUGAGCCUGGGGAAGUCAAGGCCAUUGGUUCCUGGGGGUGGGGCUUAGUGAAACAAACAGCCUGCCGCAAAGUGGUCCCGCCCCCCUGCACCUGCCCCUUGCUGCCCGGGACCACGGACCAUGGUCACAGUCCAGCCUUAGGUUCAUUCUCACUCCCCUGAAAUGCCCUGAGUCGGCCGUGUAAUUUACCCAACUCCUCGCACCUGGGCCUUCCGGACACCCCGCCGCCAUAGGCGUCACGUUCCCUUUGCAUGCCAUGCCCUCCCCCAGGGCUGGCCAACUCGCAGGCGCUCUGACCCGGGCAGAAGCCAUCCAGCCCCAAUGUCCCAACGCAGGGCAGCACCACACAUUCUCUCCACCGGGGUCCCUUCGAGCCUUGCCAAGCCUCUGACAGGGCCCUUCUCCCCCGCUGACCCAUUAACUGGGGGCUCCCUGGGAGCAAACACCGUGCCUCGCUGCUCUCCGAAUCUCCCAACACAUGUUUACUCUUGGUGAUAUUCUACCUGUGUUUGUUGAUUAAACACAAAAAUGUAA